AUUGAACGCUGGCGGCAGGCCUAACACAUGCAAGUCGAGCGGAGCGGCGGACGGGUGAGUAAUUCCUAGGUAUCUGCCUGGUCGUUGGGGAUAACGUCCGGUCAGGGGCGCUAAUACCGCAUACUAUCAGAUGAGCCUAGGUGGGAUUAGCUAGUUGGUGAGGUAAGGGCCUACAAAGGCGACGAUCCGUAACUGGUCUGAGAGGAUGAUCAGCCACACUGGAACUGAGACACGGUCCAGACUCCUACGGGAGGCAGCAGUGGGGAAUAUUGCACAAUGGGCGAAAGCCUGACCCAGCCAUGCCGCGUGUGUGAAGAAGGUCUUCGGAUUGUAAAGCACUGUAAGUAGGGAGGCGUUACCAACAGAAAAAGCAACGGCUAACUACGUGCCAGCAGCCGCGGUAAUAC
rnacentral:rRNA from 1 species